rnacentral:rRNA from 1 species
AUACGUAGGUCCCAAGCGUUGCGCGAUCUCACUGGGCGUAAAGCGUCCCCAGCCGGUCCGGUAAGCGGAUUGUCAAAACCCGCGGCUCAACCGCGGUAGGGCAACCCGAACUGCCGGACUUGAGGCAAGCCCAGGCAGGCGGAAUUCCCGGUGUAGCGGUGAAAUGCGUAGAUAUCGGUAGGAACACCAAAGGGGAAGCCAGCCUGCUGGGGCUGCCCUGACGGUCACGGACGAAAGCUGGGGGAGCAAACCGGAUUAGAAACCCUAGUAGUCC